GACGAACCGUGCGAACGUUGUUCGGAAUCACUGGGCUUAAAGGGCGCGUAGGUGGCUCGCCAAGUCCGGGGUGAAAUCUUUCGGCUUAACCGGAAAACAGCCUCGGAUACUGGUGAGCUCGAGCGAGGUAGGGGCCGUUGGAACUUCCGGUGGAGCGGUGAAAUGCGUUGAUAUCGGAAGGAACGCCGGUGGCGAAAGCGAACGGCUGGACCUCUUCUGACGCUGAGGCGAGAAAGCCAGGGGAGCAAACGGG
rnacentral:rRNA from 1 species